rnacentral:rRNA from 1 species
GUAGGAGGCAAGCGUUAUCCGGAAUGACUGGGCGUAAAGGGUGCGUAGGUGGUUCGGCAAGUUAGUAGCGUAAUUCCGGGGCUCAACCUCGGAACUACUACUAAAACUGUUGGGCUUGAGUGCAGGAGGGGCAUAUGGAAUUCCUAGUGUAGCGGUGGAAUGCGUAGAUAUUAGGAAGAACACCAGUGGCGAAGGCGAUAUGCUGGACUGUAACUGACACUGAGGCACGAAAGCGUGGGGAGCAAAC